rnacentral:rRNA from 1 species
GGCCAUACCAUGCUGAAUAUACCGGUUCUCGUUAGAUCACCGAAGUCAAGCAUCACUGGGCGCGGUCAGUACUUGGGUGGGUGACCACCUGGGAACACCGCGUGCCGUU